CUACUUUGGUUGAUUAGGCUGUUGUUCAGUAUGAUACAUUAAUUGUUAUAAGCUAGGUGUUUAUAAAUUUGUUCAAGCUUGAUGCCUUUAUUUUCUAAUAUAUAUUUCUGAAAUUCCCACAAGGAUUUCAACAUCAUAUCUGAAAUGAGAAAAAACCCCAAAAAAAAAACCACGUUUAUUUGUGUUUAAAUUCAAACAACACAGACUAAACCUGAUUGGUUCCAGAGCCAUUGAACGGCUCUGAUUGGUUCGUAUGAUAAUGAGCUCGCAGCAGAGAGCUUCGUAAAUCAAAUAUGAUGUGCGUGCAAAUGUCCCUUGAAUGUGAAUAUAAGUCUAAAUUUAAACCGUAUUAUAUUAUAUAGAGCGAUCGUGUCUCUUUAGGGCGCUUGGAGGAAACCACGCAAUUCAUAUGGAUUACUUUAGCGAUGUUUUUUUGCGAUGAACUUUUUGAAACGUGAACAUCUUUGAUUAAUCUUUUCAUCGGAGGGACAUACAUCUCUCAGAUUUCAUUUAAAUAUCUCCGCUAUUCUUUCGAAGAUGAAAGAAAGUCUUAGAUGGUUUGGAGCAUCUUAAGGGUGAUUGAUGGCAGAAUUCAAAUUGUUUUGGGGGAAUUAUGAAAUUAAUUAGAAAAUAUGUAAGGGAUAAUCAACGGCUAGCUGUGCAUUAAACGAUUUGAAUGCACGACGUGGAGGCGAAGAACCACCCGACGCGCAGCGGAGUGCAUUCAGAUCGUUUAAUGCACAGCUAGCCGUUGAUUAUCCCGUUUAUGCCAUGGUCAUUUGCCAGCAUUCACAUAUUAAAGAUGUUAAUAAUAUUUGUGCUGCAAUAUUUGACCGGAACGAUAAAAAUGACGGUUAUUUUCGUCUGUAUUACUAUUCAGCUGUAAUUGUAUGUUACUAUGGUUACCAAUGUUUAUAGGAAGCACAUUAAUAUAGAACGUGAUUAAACUGACCUGGAACUACCUGUGCAGUUCAACGAAUUUAAUCAACACUGCCAGCCAAUCAGAAUCCAGUAUUCAGACAGACCAUGGCAUAAAGCGGUAUGUUUUUAUUUUUACCAGCUUCUGCAGCGUGUAUGGCGUCUGGCUUCAGAACCUCACUGUGACUUCAGGUAAGAUUUGUAUUUAAUUAACGUUAUUUGUCUGUACCAGUCAUGUUGUUGACACAUGCAUUGGCAGAAAAAAAAAAAAAAAAAAAUUAGUUAACAUUAACAUUCUUUUAUUUGCAACAUGAAGUAUAUUUAUUUCUGAUUUCCUGAACAAUUUGGCUUCAUUUUAAUGAGGUUAAUGAUCUUUGAAAAAAACAUGAUUAUGAACAUACAGUUACUUUGUCUUGAGCUGAUCAGCAAACUGUGGUAGUGUUGGUUGAUUGGUGUCUAUAUUUGUUCAAGCUUGACAACCUUAUGACUUUAUUUUCUAAUAUAUAUAUUUCUCAUUACAGAUAAGAACAAAGAUUAAAUUGUAAGAAGGGCUGCUUGUAAGAGCAUACAGUAGGCUACAUCUGAAACUGCUGAGACUGAUCAGCUGCUAUAGAAGACAAAAUGAAAUCUGAGUGCAGAGACAAGCAAAGGAAUACUGCAAGACACUACCGACUAGGCUGUGCCCAGGUCUCCGGAACCUGCGACGACGCUCAGCUCCAUUGGCCCUUAGUUGCCUCCCUCGACUCCACCGUGUGUUGUCAGCACUGGGAUGCUCUGGGUCUGUGCCAUGUGCCAAACACCAUCUAAGCCGUCAGGGCAUCAUCGUCAUCCUCCCAUCACCAUCCCUACACCAUCUCCUCGUCCACCUCCAAAACCCCUCCAUCCCUCCCUAUUCUGUUGCUUGAACUUUAUCAUCUUCAGUCUUUGCACACACAUCUAUUCACGUUACAUGUUUUUUUUUCUUCAGAAAAUUGCAUUGUAAUUUUUAUUUAUUCAUUGAUGUAAAAUUCUGUACUUUUCAGUAAUACAGGUAUAACUGAAAUGUUCUACAAAUGGAUAAGAUAGCUCUUCCAUAGCAUUUCAGUCUUUUUUUCAUUUGUAUUUUGUAUAAUGUUUUAAAAUGUACUUGAGUAUGUUUGUAGUAAUACAAAAAUACUAUAAACAUACUUGUAUUUCAAGUGCAUUUCUAAUACAUUUAAUAGUAUGUUUUUUUUGUUUUUCACCGAAAUAUAUA